AUGAUUUAGGGCUUAUUCUCUUUGGAAAAAAAGGAAGAGCCUAAAUAUUAUUUUAUACCUUUUGUAAAUUAAAGCCUCAUUCGUAGUCCUUUAAACUUGUAAGGGAUCAAGAAGGUGGUGCGAACCCCCUAAUGAUAAUUACUGGUGUUGAAAAUAGACUUGCUGGUGAUACAUACACAAUUCACGUUGUUGAAGAGUUAGAGAGAUUGAUGAAUACAUGAACGUGCGAUCCUUUAUGCAAAAUGUGUGAGGUGGUCCCUCUAGUGCUUAUGCUAGGUAGGGGAGUGCAAGUAGCAAAAAGAAACAGAAGACUACUGCUGAAGCUGCUAAGAUUAUAUUAAGUAGUGAAGAUUAAGGUAGUCCAACAAGGGAAAUUCACCGAAAGAAAGGGAAAGAUCACGUUUUAACAUUAAGUAAUGUGGGAACCACUGCUAUAGUCCUUUUUGUGGUUCCUUCCCACUCCACCUCGGGUAAAACCAUCAACUAAUAGUAUACUUAGGAUGAUUGUUGAUCAUAGGCCUCCUUGGGGUUCGAUGAAGUUCAUGUCUUUUGGUGGUAAGACACAAACAUUAUUUUAGUGGCGCGAGCACUUAAGCAUGUAGAAGUUUCCUUAUUGUCCCAUUGAAGUGAGCAAAUAGUGGAAAGAUUCAAUGCCUGAAGAAGCAAAAGAGCAUGCUUUUCCUUUUGCAUCAUCCAGCUAUGUGAGGAAACAUUACUUGAAUGAGCUUAUAUUGUCUUUUUAAGUAGCCUUGGCUAAAGUUGGUAUGGUCAGUGUGGGGCUUGUUGAAGGCAUUGGUGAACAGGAAGUAAAUAAGAUAGAAAUUGAAAAUGCAUAUCAGUCUACCAUGGGGACGUUAGAAACGGCUCGUGAAGUACAUAAAAAUUUGAACAAGGAAAACAAAAAAUUAGUGAAGCAGAAUAGGAGGUUAUAGGAGCAUUUCACUCUCGUUAAAAAAUAUAUUGAAAAAAUAUAUAGAGAUAUCGUAGAUGAGUGAGCUAAUAAGGAUGUUUUGGAAAUGACCACAAACAGCAUGGAUAAGAGGCAGAAACUUACCAUAGCUAAUCUGGUGAAGAGUCAUGAAGAGGCUUUGGAAAAGUAAAAGCUAAUACCAUGCAAAGCUUUUAAGAUUAUUUUUCAAUUUUAAAAUCUAACUUCUUG
rnacentral:lncRNA from 1 species